rnacentral:rRNA from 1 species
AGCUCCAAUAGCGUAUAUUUAAGUUGUUGCAGUUAAAAAGCUCGUAGUUGGAUUUCGGAGUCGGGCGACCGGUCCGCCGUUUCGGUGUGCACUGGUCCGACCCGUCUUUUUCUGUCGGGACGCGCGCUCCUUCAUUGGGGACGCGGAGUCGGCGCUGUUACUUUGAAAAAAUUAGAGUGUUCAAGGCAGGCUUACGCUCUGAAUACUAUAGCAUGGAAUAACGCGAUAGGACUCCGGGCCUAUUUCGUUGGUCUUCGGGGCCGGAGUAAUGAUUAAGAGGGACAGUUGGGGGCAUUUGUAUUCCGGUGUCAGAGAUGAAAUUCUUGGAUUUCCGGAAGACAAACUUCUGCGAAAGCAUUUGCCAAGGAUGUUU